rnacentral:lncRNA from 1 species
ACAAUUUACGCUCCGCUGGGGAUUAUUAACAAUGCCUGUCAGAAUCGGCAAAGAAGCGAUCUUAAAAGAAGAAUUUGUUUGAUACGGAGGCAGUCGGCCUGAAUACCGAAACAGAAUGUUAAUCUGGAUACCAAAAUAAAUGGUAACACAGGAAUAACCAUGGCCUGAAUGCCGCAUCCGCUGGGGAUUAUUAUUUUUAUUUUUUUUGCUUUUCUUGAACCCCAAAACUUUCUGAUUUAUUUUUCUUUUCUUGAAC